rnacentral:rRNA from 1 species
UACGUAGGGGGCAAGCGUUGUCCGGAAUCAUUGGGCGUAAAGCGCGCGUAGGCGGACCUGCAAGUCGGGGGUGAAAGCCCGAGGCUCAACCUCGGAACUGCCUUCGAUACUGCGGGUCUCGAGUCCGGGAGAGGUGAGUGGAGUUCCUAGUGUAGAGGUGAAAUUCGUAGAUAUUAGGAAGAACACCAGUGGCGAAGGCGGCUCACUGGCCCGGUACUGACGCUGAGGCGCGAAAGCGUGGGGAGCAAACAGG